rnacentral:rRNA from 1 species
AGUGGACGCUGGCGGUAGGCCUAACACAUGCAAGUCGAACGGCAGCACAGUAAGAGCUUGCUCUUACGGGUGGCGAGUGGCGGACGGGUGAGGAAUACAUCGGAAUCUACUUUUUCGUGGGGGAUAACGUAGGGAAACUUACGCUAAUACCGCAUACGACCUACGGGUGAAAGCAGGGGAUCUUCGGACCUUGCGCGAUUGAAUGAGCCGAUGUCGGAUUAGCUAGUUGGCGGGGUAAAGGCCCACCAAGGCGACGAUCCGUAGCUGGUCUGAGAGGAUGAUCAGCCACACUGGAACUGAGACACGGUCCAGACUCCUACGGGAGGCAGCAGUGGGGAAUAUUGGACAAUGGGCGCAAGCCUGAUCCAGCCAUACCGCGUGGGUGAAGAAGGCCUUCGGGUUGUAAAGCCCUUUUGUUGGGAAAGAAAAGCAGCAGGUUAAUACCCCGCUGUUCUGACGGUACCCAAAGAAUAAGCACCGGCUAACCUCGUG